rnacentral:ncRNA from 1 species
CGCGAGUUCGCUGCCGACGGCAGCGACCGCCCGCGAAGAGGGAAUCCGGUGAGACUCCGGAGCUGACCCGCAGCGGUAUGUCGGAACGACCGCCGUCACACGCACUGGGACCGCCCCGCCCGAGCCACGGCUCACCGGCGGCGGCGCCUGGGAAGCGACGGCCAGUAGAAGCGGGCUCCAUUCCUGGCCCGCGCGCCGACGAGCCCGAAGACCUGCCGGAUGUAUCGAGCGCAU